rnacentral:rRNA from 1 species
GUGAUAAAUAUUAUAAAUUAUUAAAUAAAAUUAUAUUAAAAAGAAAAAGUUUUAGUAAGAUUUUAAAAUAAUUAUUUUAAUUUUAAAGAUAGUAAUGUAAAUGAAAAUAAAAAAAAUUUUUAAAAGUAAUUUUAAUUAAGUGUACCUUUUGUAUCAGGGUUUAUUAAAAAAAAAUUAUUGAUAAAUAAAUUUCUCGAAAGAAAAAGAGUUAAAUAAAUAAAUAAAAUUUAAUAUAAAAAAAUUAUUUUUAAUAUUUAUUUAGAGAAGAUAUUUUAAUCAAUUUUUUUGAUAUCUAGUUUUUUUUGAUAUAAAUUUAAUUUAGAUAUAAAUUUAAAUAUGUAAAUUUUUAUUAAAGUUUGAGAUAAUUUUUAUUUAUAAUAGGUAUUAAUUUAUAUUAAAAAUUUAUGGGAUAAUCUAUAAAUUAAUUUUAAAAUUUAAAAAAUUUAUUAAUAUUAUUUAUUUAUAAAAAUUUUAUAAAAAUGGUUUUAAAAUUUAAAAUUUUUUGAAAAAAUUUAAUAAUUUAUUUAUUUUAAUAUAAUUUAAUUAUGAUUUUAAAAUUAAAAUAAAUUUAAUAAGUUAAAAAAAUAUUUUUAUUAAUUUAAAUUAAAAAUUAAUAAUGAUAAAAUUAGUAUUAUUUAUAAAAUAUAUUUUUAAAAUAUUUAAAAAUAAUUAAUUUAUAUUUAAUUAAAGAAUUAGGCAAAAUAAAUUUAUUUAAUAUAUUUAAAUAAAAUUAAGCUCACCUGUUUAAUAAAAACAUGGUUUUUAGAAAAUAAUUAAAGAUUUGUUCUGCUCAAUGAUAAAUAUUAAAUAGCCGCAGUAAUUUGACUGUGCUAAGGUAGCAUAAUCAUUUGUCUUUUAAUUGGAGGCUGGAAUGAAGGAAUGGAUGAAGUUUAAGCUUUUUAAAUUAAAUAAUAAAAAUUUAAAUUUUGAAUAAAAAUGUUUAGAUGAUAUUAUGGGACGAUAAGACCCUAUAGAAUUUAAUAUAAUUUUUAUUAAUGUAAGAUUAGUUUGUAAAUUUAGUAUAAAAUUAUAUUUGGUUGGGAGGAUAGAAAAAUUUUAUAAACUUUUUAAUUUUAUUUAAUAAAUAAAUCAUUUAUUUAUGAAAAUAUGAAUAAGUUUUUAAAAAAAAAAUUAUUGAAAAAUUAAUUACCUUAGGGAUAACAGCGUAAUAUUUUUUUUAAGAUCAUAUUAUAAAAAAUGAUUGCGACCUCGAUGUUGAAUUAAAAUAAAAAUUAAAUGGAAAAAUUUAAUUAUUUAGUCUGUUCGACUAUUAAAAUUUUACAUGAUUUGAGUUUAGAUCGGCGUGAGCCAGAUCGGAUUUUAUCUAUAAUUAAAAUGUAAAUAAAUUUGUACGAAAGGACUUUUUAUUUGAAAUUUUUUUUUUAUAAAGAAUUAUAUUAAUUUUAUAAAAUUAUGA